CAACAGGGAUUCCCCUAGUAACGGCGAGUGAAGCGGGAACAGCUCAAAUUUGAAAUCUGGCCCUCGGGUCCGAGUUGUAAUUUGCAGAGGAUGCUUUUGGCGCGGUGCCUUCCGAGUUCCCUGGAACGGGACGCCUUAGAGGGUGAGAGCCCCGUACGGUUGGCCACCAAGCCUGUGUAAAGCUCCUUCGACGAGUCGAGUAGUUUGGGAAUGCUGCUCAAAACGGGAGGUAUAUUUCUUCUAAAGCUAAAUACUGGCCAGAGACCGAUAGCGCACAAGUAGAGUGAUCGAAAGAUGAAAAGCACUUUGAAAAGAGGGUUAAAUAGCACGUGAAAUUGUUGAAAGGGAAGGGUUUAUGACCAGACUUUUUCUAGGGGGAUCAUCCGGUGUUCUCACCGGUGCACUUCCCCUAGUUGAGGCCAGCAUCGGUUUCUGCCGGGGGAUAAAAGCUUCGGGAAUGUGGCUCCUUCGGGAGUGUUAUAGCCCGUUGUAUAAUACCCUGGCGGGGACCGAGGUUCGCGCAUUCGCAAGGAUGCUGGCGUAAUGGUUAUUAACCACCCGUCUUGAAACACGGACCAAGGAGUCGAACAUUUGUGCGAGUGUUUGGGUGUUAAACCCUCACGCGUAAUGAAAGUGAACGGAGGUGAGAGCCUUUAGGGGUGCAUCAUCGACCGAUCCUGAUGUCUUCGGAUGGAUUUGAGUAGGAGCAUCACUGUUCGGACCCGAAAGAUGGUGAACUAUGCGUGGAUAGGGUGAAGCCAGAGGAAACUCUGGUGGAGGCUCGCAGCGGUUCUGACGUGCAAAUCGAUCGUCAAAUCUGCGCAUGGGGGCGAAAGACUAAUCGAACCAUCU
rnacentral:rRNA from 1 species